AUUGAACGCUGGCGGCAGGCCUAACACAUGCAAGUCGAACGAGUGGCGGACGGGUGAGUAAUGUCUGGAACACUGCGCGAUGGAGGGGUAUCACUACUGGACACUGUAUCUAAUACCGCAUACCAUCGUGUGUGCCCAGAUGGGUUUAGCUAGUAGGUGGGGUAACGGCUCACCUAGGCGACGAUCCCUAGCUGGUCUGAGAGGAUGACCAGCCACACUGGAACUGAGACACGGGCCAGACGCCUACGGGAGGCAGCAGUGGGGAAUAUUGCACAAUGGGCGCAAGCCUGAUGCAGCCAGGCCGCGUGUAUGAAGAAGGCCUUCGGGUUGUAAAGUACUUUCAGCGAGGAGGCGUUACUCGCAGAAGAAGCACCGGCUAACUCCGUGCCAGCAGCCGCGGUAAUUC
rnacentral:rRNA from 1 species